AGCGAACGCUGGCGGCAGGCUUAACACAUGCAAGUCGAGCGGGCAUCCUUGUGGUGUCAGCGGCAGACGGGUGAGUAACGCGUGGGAACGUGCCCUUCGGUUCGGAAUAACUCAGGGAAACUUGAGCUAAUACCGGAUACGUGCGAGAGCAGAAAGGUUUAUCUGCCGAAGGAUCGGCCCGCGUCUGAUUAGCUAGUUGGUGAGGUUAUGGCUCACCAAGGCGGCGAUCAGUAGCUGGUCUGAGAGGAUGAUCAGCCACACUGGGACUGAGACACGGCCCAGACUCCUACGGGAGGCAGCAGUGGGGAAUAUUGGACAAUGGGGGCAACCCUGAUACAGCCAUGCCGCGUGAGUGAUGACGGCCUUAGGGUUGUAAAGCUCUUUUCUCCGGGACGAUAAUGACGGUACCGGAGGAAUAAGCCCCGGCUAACUUCGUG
rnacentral:rRNA from 1 species